rnacentral:misc_RNA from 1 species
AUAAGUCAACAAAAAAGUGUCCUGACCUCUAUACUAGCAGAAUAUUGUUACCUGCUAUAAAAUUGAAAAGAACCUUAAAUUAAAUAAAAAUUCUUGUGCUUGCUGAUGAAUUUUUGGUGAAAAUCACUUGACCCUCACUUUGUAGAAUAAAGUUUAACUCUUUAUUCUUCAGCCAUGCCGAAAGUACUGUCAUAUACUAUUAACGACGGUGUUGCUGUCGUCACUGUCGAUACCCCAAAUUCUAAGGUACAAAAUGUUUGUUAUUUAAUAUAUGAACAUACGAGUAACUUUUGAUUUAGCAAAUCGUUUGUUGUUUUUGGUUAAAUGUGAAUUUAUUUAUGGUUGAUUGUUUCUCAGGUUAAUACACUUUCCAUAGACAACGCAGAUGAAUUUAAAGAAGUUCUAAAUAUUUUGAAAAAUAACGAUGAUGUAAAAGCGACUGUACUUAUAUCAGGAAAGCCUGAUUGCUUUUUUGCAGGAGCAGAUAUUAAGUAAGUUAAUACACUUAAUCAUUCGAAACAUCUAAGUAUUAAAAAAAAAGGUAGUGUCCAUAUCCUAUGUAGUAUAAUAUUAAUAAAUUAGCUCAUUCGACAGAGGUAUGUUCAUAUAUACACAGUAUAUGUACAGAAUAUAAGAAAAAAUACUGCUAUUAUUAUGUUAAUACUUAUCUUUUUGACCAUUUUACAAAUGAGAUCUGAUUAUCGCUAGCCAGAUUGUGGUAGGCUUGUUUAUUUUUGUCUAUUUCGAUGUUCCAAUUGUUAUCAGUUCUACUCUACACAGAGGGUGAAGAGUUGCUUUACAGAGAUAUCUUACUUAAUAAUCAAUCAUUCAAUCAAAGUUCAAAUAGAGUAUUACCAAAAUGCAUCAAAGGUUAGGAGUAGUAAAGUUGCAGAACUUAAUAAACUGGUAAAAGUUCAACGAGAGUAGAUGGGGGGCUAAGAGUAGAUAAUUGGAAAUUUAAGAAUUGCCGGAUAACAUGAAAUCAUCAUUUGACUAAUAAUGUAUUAUAGUAUGCUAGAAUCAUGUAAGACUGCUGAAGAAAUACAACAUUUGUCAAGAAUAUGUAAAGGAACUUUUAAUGAAAUAGCUGAAAGUAAAAAACCAAUUGUAGCAGCUAUAAUGGGUCAAUGCUUAGGUGCCGGACUUGAGACAGCCUUAGCCUGUCAUUAUCGAAUAGCUGUCAGGGACAAAAAAACUGUUUUAGCUGUACCGGAAGUGAUGAUUGGUCUCCUGCCUGGAGCUGGUGGAACGCAAAGACUUUUGCGCUUACUAUCUCUUCCUGAUGCAUUUGACAUGAUGCUAACGGGAAAGAAUAUACGCCCUGAUAAAGCUAAGACAAUCGGUCUAGUACACAUGCUUAUUGACCCGAAAGGAGCUUCAGAUUCAAAAGAAUCGAAAGAAGCUACAAGAAAACAUUUGGAACAAGUUGCAAUUGAAACAGCCAAGGGCUUAGUAGACGGUUCAAUUCAAGCAUUACCAAGGAGAAAGGGAUGGGUAGAAACCAUUACUGAAUACAUAAUGUGGUUUAAUUUGGGUAGAUAUUUCUUUAUGACACAAGCUCGAAAUAGGGUAAUGAAUAUGACGCAAGGCCACUAUCCUGCACCAUUAAGAAUAUUAGAUGUUGUUGAGGAAACACUAAAGAGUGGUUAUGAACGAGGAAACCAGUUAGAAACCAGAUAUUUUGGAGAAUUAGGUGUAACAAAAGAAUCAAAAGCUCUUAUUGGUUUGUUUCAUGGGCAGACGCACUGCAAAAAGAAUCACUAUGGUUCCCCUAGUCCUAUUAAAAAAGUUGGUAUACUGGGAACUAAUUCUAUUGGUGCUGGUAUUGCAGAAAUAACCAUUUUUAAAGGUUAUCCUCUUUCACUGUAUGAUAAAUCAAAGGAAAAUUUAGAACAAGGUUUAAUAUAUAUAAAGAACAAUCUCAAGCAACGAGUUUUAAGGAAACAAAUAAGCGAUAAUGAAAAAGACAAAUUGGUAUCUAAAUUGGAGACUGGCACGGAAUUGGAAAGCAUAUCAAAUGUUGAUUUUGUUAUUGAAGCUUCAACUGAGAAUUUUGAUAAAAAAUGCAAACUUUUACUUGAAAUUGAGUCUAUAGUAAAGCCGUCUUGUGUCAUAGCUGUCCAAACAUUAUUUAAUCCCAUCGAAAAAGUAGCAAAAAGUGCAAAGCGACUCGAUAAGAUAAUUGGUAUGCACUAUUUCUCACCACUGGCAAAGUCACAGCUAUUAGAAAUUGUUUCAUCCAAGAGUGCAACCAAAGAAACCAUAGCAACUGCAGUGGAUUUAGGUUUAAAGCAGGGGAAAAUUGUGAUUGUUGUUGGCGAUGGACCUUGCUUUUAUACAACUAGAAUUUUAUGCAUUCUCGUAGAUGAAUUAGUAAGUAUAUUAAGAGAAGGAAUAAAACCAAAACAAUUAGAGGAUAUGACAAAAAAAAUAGGUUGGCCUAUGGGAUUAUGCUCGGUUGUUGAUGAAUUUGGCAUUGAUAAUAUUUAUGAGGCCUCAAAGGUUCUCUGUAGUCAUUAUGACGAAAAUCUUUUGUCAAAAAACCUCAUUAUCCUAGAACAAUUGGUUAAGAAGGGAAUGCUUGGUAAAAAAAUUGGCUUAGGCUUGUUUGAAUAUGAUCCUACAAGAAAAUUAAGUAUAGACAAUCCUGCUGCCAUUAAAAUAAUAGACGAUAAUAAAAUUUCACCUAAGGAAAGUUUGACUACUCAAAACAUACAAUGGCGUUUAGUGUCUAGAAUAAUUAAUGAAGCAGUUUUAUGUCUGGAAGAAGGAACUCUAAAAUCCCCUUUGGACGGUGACAUAGGUGCAGUAUUUGGUCUAGGCUUUCCACCAUUCUUAGGAGGACCCUUCCGUUAUUUAGACAUACACGGAGCUGAACAAUUAGUAAAGAGAAUGGAAAACUUUCGAAAAGUUUAUGGAGACGCUUUCAAGCCUUGUAAAUUACUUAUUGAACAUUCAAAAGAUUCAAAAAAACUGUUUCGUUCCUAAUUUGAAUAAUUAAUGAAUGAAAAGAAAUAAAAAACCUCUCCAAUCAAAGAAAAUAUAGGAGUUUUUAAAGACCCUAUUUAUUUUACUCGAUAUAUUAACGUCUAGUUGUUUGAUGAUAAAAUUCAAUUUAUUCCUUAGAGCUUUCAAAUGAUUGACGUCUCUUUAUCCUGGGAGUUGAUAGUUUUUGAUCUAUCUUUAGAUGACGAUUUUUUUAAAGUAGUUGUCGCACGAUUAUUUCCAAAGGAUAUUCAACCAACUGGCUUAUAGAAUCUAUGAAUUUUAUCCUAAAUUACACAUUUAUCUUAAUGAUAAUAAAGCUUUCAUAAAUAUAUUUAGUAGUUCUCCACUCAAAGCAGUUCAAUUCCUUAUUGUUUAAC